GAUGAACGCUGGCGGCGUGCCUAAUACAUGCAAGUCGAGCGAACAGACGAGGAUCUUGCUCCUCUGACGUUAGCGGCGGACGGGUGAGUAACACGUGGAUUACCUACCUAUAAGACUUGGAUAACUUCGGGAAACCGGAGCUAAUACCGGAUAAUAUAUUUAACCGCAUGGUUCAAUAGUGAAAGACGGUUUUGCUGUCACUUAUAGAUGUAUCCGCGCCGCAUUAGCUAGUUGGUAAGGUAACAGCUUACCAAGGCAACGAUGCGUAGCCGACCUGAGAGGGUGAACGGCCACACUGGAACUGAGACGCGAUCCAGACUCCUACGGGAGGCAGAAGUAGGGAAUCUUCCGAAAUGGGCGAAAGACUGACGGAGCAACGCAGCGUGAGUGAUGAAGGUCUUCGGAUCGUAAAACGCUGUUAUUAGGGAAGAACAAAUGUGUAAGUAACUAUGCACGUCUUGACGGUACCUAAUCAGAAAGCCACGGCUAACUACGUG
rnacentral:rRNA from 1 species